UUUCGAGUAAAUGAAAAAUUU
rnacentral:piRNA from 1 species